UACAAGUUGGUUGUACUGGACUGGCCAGCUCACUCAUUUUUGCUCUUAUCUGGAUAGUUGUCAGGUGCGGCGACAAUUCUUGGCGCAAUCUCGAAAUACUCAUGCAGUGACAUCAGUACCAAAACUUGAUGAAAUUAAGGAUAAAUAAGUUAAGAUCCACUGAGUUAUAAAAUGCAAUUUACGGAACUAAAAAAUGCUAAAAUAUGUACUAAAGAUAACUACAUGGGAACAAAUUAACCAAUAAGAAGGGAGGAAACAUUUGUUUUUUUCUAGUACUAUCAAACCCCCAAACUUGAG
rnacentral:lncRNA from 1 species